ACGGAGGGUGCGAGCGUUGUCCGGAAUCAUUGGGCGUAAAGGGCGCGUAGGUGGCCCGCUCAGCGUGCGGUGAAAGCCUGGGGCUCAACCCCGGGUCGGCCGUGCGAACUGGUGGGCUCGAGCACUGUAGAGGCAGGCGGAAUUCCGGGUGUAGCGGUGGAAUGCGUAGAGAUCCGGAAGAACACCGGUGGCGAAGGCGGCAUCCUGGACCGGCAUUGACGCUGAGGCGCGAAAGCCAGGGGAGCAAACGGGA
rnacentral:rRNA from 1 species